rnacentral:misc_RNA from 1 species
GAUGAAGAACGCAGCGAAAUGCGAUAAGUAAUGUGAAUUGCAGAAUUCAGUGAAUCAUCGAAUCUUUGAACGCACAUUGCGCCCGCCAGUAUUCUGGCGGGCAUGCCUGUUCGAGCGUCAUUUCAACCAUCAAGCCCCAGGCUUGUGUUGGGGACCUGCGGCUGCCGCCGGCCCUGAAAACCAGUGGCGGGCUCGCUGUCACACCGGGCGUAGUAGAUUUUAUCUCGCUCAGGGCGUGCUGCGGGUUCCGGCCGUUAAAAAGCCUUUUUUACCCAAGGUUGACCUCGGAUCAGGUAGGAAUACCCGCUGAACUUAAGCAUAUCAAUAAGCGGAGGA